GACGAACGCUGGCGGCGUGCUUAACACAUGCAAGUCGAACGGUAAGGCCCUUCGGGGUACACGAGUGGCGAACGGGUGAGUAACACGUGGGUGAAUUGACCUGCACUUUGGGAUAAGCCUGGGAAACGGGGUCUAAUACCGAAUAGGACGCCGGACUGCAUGGUCUGUGGUGGAAAGGUUUUGCGGUGUGGGAUGGGUCAGCGGCCGAUCGGCUUGGUGGUGGGGUGAUGGCCUACCAAGGCGACGACGGGUAGCCGGCCUGAGAGGGUGACCGGCCACACUGGGACUGAGAUACGGCCCAGACUCCUACGGGAGGCAGCAGUGGGGAAUAUUGCACAAUGGGAGCAAGCCUGAUGCAGCGACGCCGCGUGAGGGAUGUCGUCCUUCGGGUUGUAAACUACUUUUAAUUGGGAAAAACUAGCGAUGGUACCAAUGGAAUAAGAGGUUGCUAACUCUGUGCCAGCAGCCGCCGUAA
rnacentral:rRNA from 1 species